UGAAUACGAGAUGCUACGGCGUCGAAGCAGUCUAUGUCAUACUUCCAAGAAAAGCUUGCACUGUCAUAAACAAAUAAUGCCUGUACCAUAACCGACACAGGUGGGUAGGUAGAGUAUACUAAGGGGCGCGAGAUAACUCUCUCUAAGGAGCUCGGCAAAAUGACUCCGUAACUUCGGGAGAAGGAGUGCCUUAUUUAUAAGGUUGCAAUAACAAGAUCCAAGCAACUGUUUACCAAAAACACAGGUCUCCGCUAAGUCGUAAGACGAUGUAUGGGGGCUGACGCCUGCCCAGUGCCAGAAGGUUAAAGAAGUUGGUUAGCAUCCGCGAAGCUGAUAACUGAAGCCCUGGUGAACGGCGGCCGUAACGAUAACGGUCCUAAGGUAGCGAAAUUCCUUGUCGGGUAAGUUCCGACCCGCACGAAAGGCGUAAUGAUUUGGAUACUGUCUCGGAGAGGGGCUCGGUGAAAUAGACUUGUCUGUGAAGAUGCGGACUACCUGCACCAGGACAGAAAGACCCUAUGAAGCUUUACUGUAACCUGAAAUUGAAAUUGGACUUUACUUGCGCAGUAUAGGUGGGAGGCGUUGAGAAUAUUCUUGCGGGAUUAUUGGAGCCAUCAGUGAGAUACCACUCUUGUAAUGUUAGAUUUCUAACUUUGUAUCAUUAUCUGGUCAAAGAACAGUUUCAGGCGGGCAGUUUGACUGGGGCGGUCGCCUCCUAAACGGUAACGGAGGCGCACAAAGGUUUCCUCUGAACGGGUAGAAAUCGUAUCUAGAGUGUAAAGGCAUAAGGAAGCUUGACUGUGAGACCUACAAGUCGAGCAGGGACGAAAGUCGGUCUUAGUGAUCUGACGGUGCUGAGUGGAAAGGCCGUCACUCAACGGAUAAAAGUUACUCUAAGGAUAACAGGCUGAUCUCCCCCAAGAGUUCACAUCGACGGGGAGGUUUGGCACCUCGAUGUCGGCUCAUCGCAUCCUGGGGCGGUAGUACGUCCCAAGGGUUGGGCUGUUCGCCCAUGAAAGCGGUACGCGAGCUGGGUUCAGAACGUCGUGAGACAGUUCGGUCCAUAUCCGGUGUAGGCGUUAGAAUAUUGAGAGGAGCCUUCUUUAGUACGAGAGGACCGAGAAGGACAUACCUCUGGUGUACCAGUUAUCGUGCCAACGGUAAACGCUGGGUAGCUAUGUGUGGAGUGGAUAACCGCUGAAAGCAUCUAAGUGGGAAGCCCACCUCAAGAUAAGUA
rnacentral:rRNA from 1 species